CAGCUGUCUUCUCACCAAUUCCCUUUUAACUCACAGAGAGAGAAAACCUAAAAGAGAGAUAGAGAGAACCAGAGGGCAAGAGAGAGACACGCAUGUCCGGUCACGCUUCCGGCAAUGGUCACUAAGAUAUCCGGCGAGUUACCCCUGGCCGCCUUUUACCCUUCCAUUUAUACCCUCGGGAAAGAAGCAUGUGCGAAGUAUCCUUCUCCCCUGUCGUUCAUAGACUCGCACCCCUACAACCCCAUAAUCAUCUUCAUUGUAGAAUCUUACUGGUUUGAGCAAGUUCCAAUCAGCCUUAACACGGAGAUCUGGAGGUUGCAAAUCGGUUUCUGACAAGGUUAAAACCACCUAUUGAUGACGCAUGGGUCGUCUCCGAACAGUCCAGCGACACUAGGUAUAGGUUAUCGACAAUGUUGUAGGGUAAGAACCAGUUACUUUAUCUUUGGUAUGUUAGGGUUUAUUUAAACAGGCAAGCCUCAACAAUUGGGGCUCCAAUUUUUAAUAUUUUCAAUUUUAAUUCUUGCAAUUUUGUUUGGUUGUCAUCGGUAGUGUUCAACUAGAUACCGAAUUGUUAUGAUUCUUGGGUUUUCCACAGGUGCUAAUUACCUAAAUAAAUUUGUUUAUGUUCUCAUUGGCGAAGCCACGCCCCCCCGAAUUUUCGCAAAACCGGGGGGGGGGGGGGGGGGCGGCAACGUAUAUACCUAUACGAAAGUACUAUUUAUAAGACUACGCAUCGAAAAGUUCGGGGGGUCGGGCGCCCCCGGACAUAGCUUAUCCUGCGCCAAUGUAUGUUCUUAUGGUUAGUCAUGGAAGAACUUGGGUUCUAAACUAGCUAAUAGAAAAUUUUCCACAUUUUUAGAGUAGUCCUCUUCAUUGUGGAGCUUCCCAAGCUAAUCAUUUUUUUAUGUUCUCUGUUGGCUUUUUUGUACUAAAAAUAAAAUGCCCAGGUUGUGUGAUUGAAUGCCUUUAGUGUGCAAUUAAGUAGUUUUUUAGCCUUUCACCCCAUUUAUAUUUGUUAAAGGUUGUGUCAUUAAAUGCAUUUAGUAUGUAAUUUCAGCCUUUCACCCCACUUAUAUUUCAUAAAGGCUGAUCAACUUACAUAUUGGUUUAAAAAUUGAUUUCACUUUGGGUUGUAUUUGGAUGCUUAUAAGAUCUUCAAAGCAUAUGAAAUAUAACAAUGCGCUAGCUUACUUUAGAAAAUCCAAUAUUUAUCUAAUGUAAUUGAAUUCGACAUCAGGACACAAAAAGAAGCCUACAACUUUGUUGUAGGUUGAAUUGCAUAUUUUAAUAUCUCUGACUCUUUCCAUUGUCCGAUGAGUAUAUCUUUCGAUUCCCACAUACUCUCGAAUGCUUCUCUGUUAUUGUUAUUCAUUUUUUUUGGGUAAAGGGUUACCCCGGUGAUUUAUAUUGUUAUUGUUAUUCAUUUGAUUUCGACACCAAUGUGCAAUUUUCACAGUUCAACCGAGGAAAACAUAGCAGUAGCAAUGGAGACUGUUUCAGGUUGUUUUAAUGUUCUUUAUUCUUGAAACAUAACUACUUAGUGAAUAUAAGCCAGCUUUCUUUCUUUCUUUCUUUGAUAGUUUCGACGUGCAUUCUUCACAUCCCAAAUUUCAAGCCGCUUAGUUAUUGGUAAGAAGAUCACCACUUGAUUCCAUGUCACCAAGGAAGCGAUUAGCUUAUAGUCUCUUACUACACAUGUAUAUUUAGUUUAUAUGUUUUGAUUUAUGUUUUAGUAAAUGGGUUUAUAUUAAAGUUUUAUCACCUAAAUUUCUGAAAUGUCCAAGUGUGAAUAAGACAACCCAAAGUACCAAGGGUUUUAGCUGUAUGGAAGAGAUAUAAACCCAAAAUAAUGUGCGCUUAUUGUAACUAAGUUUUGUGCAGUUUGAAGGUGGACCAUUAGAUGGUACAAAGUAGAUAGAUGGCAUUUGUUCAGUUCAAGAAGGGUUGUUAUUAUCAAGGGAUGAUGAUCCAAACAAGCUUUAUAAAAGUAUGUAGAAGGUUAAUGGCAUCUGUCUUGUCAAAGUUUUUACAUGGCUAAUGUUUAGUGUUAGUUAACCUUCCCCGCCGCAAAGCGAGUGGGAUUCUUUCUAGAGUUUGUAUACAUUACGCCUGAAUUUGUAAGUCCCCGGCCGCAACGCGGCGGGAGGGUUCCAUCUAGUUACUAUAAAAUGGGUAGUUUGCCA